AAUCAACGCUGGCGGCGUGCCUAACACAUGCAAGUCGAACGCGACCUGGGGGCUUCGGCCUCAGUUGAGUGGCGAACGGGUGAGUAACACGUGGGUGACCUACCUUCGAAUGGGGGAUAACGUCCCGAAAGGGACGCUAAUACCGCAUAACAUCCUGCCUUUGAACAGGCGGAGAGUCAAAGCCGGGGAUCGCAAGACCUGGCGUUUCGAAGAGGGGCCUGCGUCCGAUUAGCUAGUUGGUGAGGUAACGGCUCACCAAGGCGACGAUCGGUAGCCGGCCUGAGAGGGCGGAC
rnacentral:rRNA from 1 species